rnacentral:rRNA from 1 species
GAUGAACGCUGACCGAAUGCUUAACACAUGCAAGUCAACUUGAAUUUGGGUUUUUAACUUAGGUUUGGGUGGCGGACGGGUGAGUAACGCGUAAAGAACUUGCCUCACAGCUAGGGACAACAUUUGGAAACGAAUGCUAAUACCUAAUAUUAUGAUAAUAGGGCAUCCUAUAAUUAUGAAAGCUAUAAGCGCUGUGAGAGAGCUUUGCGUCCCAUUAGCUAGUUGGAGAGGUAACGGCUCACCAAGGCGAUGAUGGGUAGCCGGUCUGAGAGGGUGAUCGGCCACAAGGGGACUGAGACACGGCCCUUACUCCUACGGGAGGCAGCAGUGGGGAAUAUUGGACAAUGGACCGAGAGUCUGAUCCAGCAAUUCUGUGUGCACGAUGAAGUUUUUCGGAAUGUAAAGUGCUUUCAGUUGGGAAGAAACAAAUGACGGUACCAACAGAAGAAGUGACGGCUAAAUACGUG